GCGGCGGACGGGUGAGUAACACGUGGGCAACCUGCCCUGCAGACUGGGAUAACUUCGGGAAACCGGAGCUAAUACCGGAUAACACCGAAAACCGCAUGGUUUUCGGUUGAAAGGCGGCUUUUAGCUGUCACUGCAGGAUGGGCCCGCGGCGCAUUAGCUAGUUGGUGAGGUAACGGCUCACCAAGGCGACGAUGCGUAGCCGACCUGAGAGGGUGACCGGCCACACUGGGACUGAGACACGGCCCAGACUCCUACGGGAGGCAGCAGUAGGGAAUCUUCCGCAAUGGACGAAAGUCUGACGGAGCAACGCCGCGUGAGCGAAGAAGGUCUUCGGAUCGUAAAGCUCUGUUGUCAGGGAAGAACAAGUACCGUUCGAACAGGGCGGUACCUUGACGGUACCUGACAAGGAAGCCACGGCUAACUACUUGCCACCAGCCGCGGUAAUAC
rnacentral:rRNA from 2 species